UACGUAGGGUGCGAGCGUUAAUCGGAAUUACUGGGCGUAAAGCGUGCGCAGGCGGUUUUAUAAGACAGGUGUGAAAUCCCCGGGCUCACCCUGGGAAUGGCAUUUGUGACUGUAAGACUAGAGUACAAUAGAGGGGGAUGGAAUUCCGCGUGUAGCAGUGAAAUGCGUAGAUAUGCGGAGGAACACCGAUGGCGAAGGCAACCCCCUGGACCGGUACUGACGCUCAUGCACGAAAGCGUGGGGAGCAAACAGG
rnacentral:rRNA from 1 species